rnacentral:rRNA from 1 species
GUUUCUUAAGUUUGAGUGAAGCCCCGGGUCACCGUGUAGGGUCAUUGGAACUGGGGACUUGUAGUCAGAAGUAUGAAAAUCUGGAAUUCCACGUGUUAGCGGUGAAUGGCGUAGAGAAUUUGUAGGACACCCAUUGGCGUAAGCGGCUUUUUGGUCUGUAACUGACGCUUGAGGCGCGAAAGCGUUNGGGAGUCAAACAGGAUUAGAUACCCUGGUAGUCCACGCCGUNAACGAUGAGUGCUAAGUGUUAGAGGGUUUCCGCCCUGUUAGUGCUGCAGCUAACGCAUUAAGCACUCCGCCUGGGGAGUACGGUCGCAAGACUGAAACUCAAAGGAAUUGACGGGGGCCCGCACAAGCGGUGGAGCAUGUGGUUUAAUUCGUAAGCAACGCGAAGAACCUUACCAGGUCUUGACAUCCUCUGACAACUCUAGAGAUAGAGCGUUCCCCUUCGGGGGACAGAGUGACAGGUGGUGCAUGGUUGUCGUCAGCUCGUGUCGUGAGAUGUUGGGUUAAGUCCCGCAACGAGCGCAACCCUUGAUCUUAGUUGCCAGCAUUUAGUUGGGCACUCUAAGGUGACUGUCCGGUGACAAACCGGAGGAAGGUGGGGAUGACGUCAAAUCAUCAUGCCCCUUAUGACCUGGGCUACACACGUGCUACAAUGGUAUGGUACAAAGGGUCUGCAAGACCGUCCGAGGUCAAGCCAAUCCCAUAAAACCAUUCUCAGUUCGGAUUGUAGUCUGCAACUCGCCUAUCACUGAAGCUGGAUCG